rnacentral:rRNA from 1 species
GAAGAGUUUGAUCAUGGCUCAGAUUGAACGCUGGCGGCAGGCUUAAGACAUGCAAGUCGAGCGGAAACGAUGGAAGCUUGCUUCCAGGCGUCGAGCGGCGGACGGGUGAGUAACGCGUAGGAAUCUACCCAGUAGAGGGGGAUAGCCCGAGGAAACUCGGAUUAAUACCGCAUACGCCUCAAGGGGG